rnacentral:rRNA from 1 species
UACGGAGGGGGCUAGCGUUGUUCGGAAUUACUGGGCGUAAAGGGCGCGUAGGCGGCAGGCCAAGCGUGCGGUGAAAGUCCGGGGCUCAACCCCGGAUCUGCCGUGCGGACUGGUUUGCUAGAGCACUGUAGAGGCGAGUGGAAUUCCGGGUGUAGCGGUGGAAUGCGUAGAGAUCCGGAAGAACACCGGUGGCGAAGGCGGCUCGCUGGGCAGUGGCUGACGCUGAGGCGCGACAGCGUGGGGAGCAAACAGG